rnacentral:rRNA from 1 species
CAGUCGCCGCGGUAAUACGUAGGUGGCAAGCGUUGUCCGGAAUUAUUGGGCGUAAAGGGCUCGCAGGCGGUUUCUUAAGUCUGAUGUGAAAGCCCCCGGCUCAACCGGGGAGGGUCAUUGGAAACUGGGAAACUUGAGUGCAGAAGAGGAGAGUGGAAUUCCACGUGUAGCGGUGAAAUGCGUAGAGAUGUGGAGGAACACCAGUGGCGAAGGCGACUCUCUGGUCUGCAGCUGACGCUGAGGAGCGAAAGCGUGGGGAGCGAACAGGAUUAGAUACCCCCGUAGUCCCUUUCUCUUAUAA